rnacentral:lncRNA from 1 species
UAAAUAAAUUCCAAACAAAUAUUAUUUUAACUUUAGUUAAAAUUCUAUUAGUCCUUACUUAAAUCCUAAGUCAAAUCCUAAGUAAAUCCUAAACAAACUUUAAAUCCUAAUAAAUUCCUAAAUCUUAAAUCAAAUCAUAAUCAAAUUAAAUUAACUCUAGGGUAGUUUAGAACCUCAAUAUUUAUCAAUUAUAUUAUUGAUCUUGCUUAAGGUUUUACACACCUUUCAACAACUAAAUUAGCAAUAAGCACAAAAAAUUUGAAAAAGAUCAAACUUACCAAAUAGAAGAUCAAUUCUAAAUUCUGCUUAGGUAUUGCUUGCCUUCCUACUCUAAUCUAAAUGUUAAACUCCUAGUACCAAUAUUUCCUUCUUAAACCAUUGAAUAGCCUUCAAAAUAUACUUAAACUAUGGAAAAUCAAGUCUAGUCUCUAUACAAAAAAUUUCACUUCAAUCCAAUUAACAAAUUAUUA